rnacentral:misc_RNA from 1 species
AUUGUUAAUAGCCAAAUGAGCUUUAUUUGAAGUCAAAAAAAUUUAAAGAAAAGAAAAGAACGAUCUGUUGGUCCAAAGUUGUGGGUGUUUAUAUACUUUUAAUAUAACAUGUAGCGGAAGUUAUAUGCAUGAGAUGCAUGUCAAACUAAAAUCUUCUGAAGUGGGUGAAAAAUGAAAACAGGAAAAACUCAGGCAUACAUUCACUGAUUCGCAGAUGCAGAAUGCAUGUUCCAGAGGAUAAAUUCUUAGAUAGUUUGCAUUUUGUUGCUGAUCUUCUCCACCUUGUUGUUUGCUGCAUGAGUUACAAAAUAUGUAGCAUUUAAUUUAGCCUUUUGGCUGUGGUCGAACAUAAUUAAGAUCAAAUCAUCAUCUUAGCUGAUCUCAGUUUGCUUUGUAUUGAUAUUGUUAUGUGUGAAUCUUA